ACUCUUCCCUUUCAAACAUCCGUCCUCAGUUAAGAAAGCAGGUGGGAACAUUCUAAUCUUUUUCAUUUGUUUUAUUUUGUCCUAUUUGGUUGAAAACAUGAAUUUUCAAAAUUCCUGUAGCGUUUUUGGUGAGUUUUAGUUUUGACAUUAGUUUGCAUUUUGAAAUUAAUCCUUAAAGUUUGGGGAAUUAUUGUGUUUAGUUUUCUUUUCUGUCUGUUUCCAGCCUGAGUUUUGUCACCAGUUACCCCUCACCUGUCUCUCUAUGUUUUUUAUCAGAAGAAUUUCAUCUGCUGUUUAUCAUUGUGGCACUUUGGCUCUCUGUUCCUGUUUUUCUGUAUCCGUAUAAUCGUUCUUAUAAAGGUUUCAACCUUGCCUUGUGUGCUUGACACUCAAGUUUAGGAUGAAUUUCUUUCCUUCCCUCUAUUCUCUGCUUCGGAUUUUGUUCUGAACUUUUUGCAUCUGUUUCCAGAAGCUUUGGUUUUUAAUAAAAUACUUUUAGGUGUACCUGUUUCCUAUUGUGCUAUAAUUGAGUUAUUUCCACCGAGAUACAAAAAAUAUCUAAAUAAAUCAGUUAAAAUGUCAUGUAUUUUUUUUAUUCCAAUGAUUUUACCUGUAAAACCAACAUUGAAUAUAUUCUCACUCCAGCAUGUUUGUGUUUUUGCAGGUGAAAUAAUAAAAAAAUCCAUCAGCACAUUCAACAAUCUCUAACCUAUGAAUGUCUUUGCUGGAGUGCACUGAUUAGUAAAAAUGUGAUUGAGUCUCUGUGUAAUAUAUGUUUGCUAUGUUCAGACUUACCAUAUUUCCUGAGAGGCAUCAUUGUGUCUGUGGGUUUGGCAAUACUCAUAAUAACUGUUGUCACCCUUAACACAUUUUUAUUCUUUCAGGAAAAAAAUCCCAGAUGAAUGAAGACAUGAGACUUAAUGAUAAAGAAGAUGAAAGUAUUGAGAUGUAUGAAAAUGUUAAAGAGCUUUCUGCAUCAGUCAGUCUCCACUGAUCAACAACUUCAAACUCAUCUUACUGCGCAAAGAAGUUCAUUGCUGGUAAAGCAGCAUGUUUUACAUCUUGUGAGAAAUGAACCAUCUGGAAACUUACCCUGGAGAGACUAAUUCCUGGAAGUGAGCUGAAAAUCUGACUAUGAAGACUCAAUAUUUAUGAGAGAUAAGGGGUCAAGGAAAUAACCUCCAGAAGGCAGUGGAACCAAUGAUUGGAGAUAAGAAAACACUUUAAAAAAGACUAAAUAAAAGAACACACUAGUCAGUGUGUCUUUGACAUAUAUUGUGGUUACACUUGCUUUGUGGUUAUUGUUCUCAGUUAAAUAGUGACAGGUUUUUGUCUGUCUCUAUGAAAACUACCUGUAGCUUAUUGAAACAAACCAAUCUGUUAGUCUGACCACUUCUUUGCAUCCUUUGUGUUUAUUAAAACCAUCCUAAGAGCAAUUUGCUUAAUAAUCUUAAUCUCUGAGCUUUUUAUUUGUUUUAUAAACUUCUCUUUCCUGUUUAUCUAACUGGCUCUUACCUCUGGAAAUAGGGACAAGUGUGGGCCCAGCUCCUGAUGGGGGCAUGGAAAUCUCUCCCUCUGGGUGGUCACACUGAAGUGCACCCAAGAGGGCAAAGACAGCAGCUCCAAGUGUCGAUGAGAGUGCCUCGUGAAAGCAGAAAGAAAUUUUAGCGCCAUUAGUGAUUUCCUUCCUAAAAACACAAUAAUAACCAAGCAACCUUUGCUGUUACAGCCGGAAAGUUGACCUGAAAUGAGGAAGUUUCAACUUCUGAGCACAACUGAAACUCUUUUAGCAAUACUAGCUUGUUUCUUGGGAAAAAUAGUUUGAGUUAAUACAUCGAUUUAUUGGUUUGCUCCUAUAAAUGUGUUUAAAACUGGUCUGGACAUUUUGCCAGUGUGAAAAUGUUUCAUUUGUUUCUGAAGAAGUGUUUACCAGCAUGCAUUUAUCAGCCAGUCCUUUAGAUCCAUCUGUUCCAUUCUUUGUUAAGACAAGUUGCAACUUAGCUAAUCACAUGGCAGCACCUCUUGGUUUACAGAGAAUAGUUUGAAAAAGAGAAAGCAUCUAUUGAGCAGCAGUUGUGUGGAUUAAAAUGCCUUGUUGAUGUCCAAAGUCAUAGGAAUAUGGGCAGGCUGGUCUGAGAUGAUGAAAAUGCAACACCAGCUCAAACAAACCAUGUCAAAUCUCAAAGGAGAUGUGCUACAGCAACAGAAAACAAGACUAAGUGCCACUCCUGUCACCUAAGAAUAAGAAAACUGAGGCUGUAUUUUUUACAUCGUCACCAAAACUGGACAAUAAAAGAUUUGAAAAUGUU